GAGACACACACACAGAAUAGAGGGUGUCCCACAGUGAUGAGCAAUCCUGUUUCAGUCUGAUUUAAACUUUAGUUUGCAGAAGCUUUAAACCUGAAACUCACUAGUCCCUAAUGCAAAGGCAGCCUGCUAACAGACAGACAAGUCAAAGAACAACCUUUAAUUUCACCCUGGAAGACCAAGUAACCUGCCAGUGGAGACGACAAGCCUCAAAUCCAGCAGUGAAGCAGCCGCCAGCUCCCAGCAGCACCUCCGCUCACAGGACUCUACCAGAACACUACUGCUGUAUUCAAGGAGAGGGACAGUCAGGAGGUAUGCAAGAAACAGACCAGGUAGGAGCAUCACACACACACACACACACACACACACACACACACACACACACACACACACACACACCACACACACACACACUUUUGUCUUUCAUUAUUUGGAGGACCCUCAUUGAAAUGCAUUCCCGAGCCCCUCACACUUGCCUUAAAAGGGAACAUCGCCUACAUUAAGAAUUCUAAUGUGUUUUCAUGGCAUAUCCCUGAUGACAUCACACAUUUCAGUUUUCGCACUCUAGUGUUUGGAGUUGUUCAUGUUAAUAUUUUUGGACUGUCUUAUAGGAAUAACAUGUAUGAAUUUAGAAAAUGGGCGUAGUUCACCUCUAACGAUCACAACUUUCUAACAGUCGUUUGAUGUAGUGCGGGCCAACAUGUCAUCAGAGUGCAGACAUGUCCUCACUAAUUCUCACAAACACAGCAAUACAAGCCCACACACAUGUGUAUUUGUACAGGAAAAAAGUUUGGCUUUUGUAGUUGUUCCUCUGACUUGUAGUGAAAACUUUGAGAGUUCUGUUAAUCACGGCCAGCUGAGGACGGCCACUGUUACAUACUUUGAACAGCAGCUUUGUUUCUGUUACUGUAGUAGCUGAUGGUACAUUGUGUUACGCUCUUCAAUCCUAAUUUCCUCUUAAAUGUCCUCUUACAGUAAGUAUCAUUAAAGUUACUUCUUGGCUGUUUGUACUGACAAGCUGGCUGGUGUCAAGUAGUCAGUGUGACAUGGUGGGGGAGCUCAAUGAUCAUGUAACAAAGUGUCAUAUUGAGCUUCCUGUUCCCAGAUCUUGCUAAUAACGUAUGUGUUGUAAAGCAAGG
rnacentral:lncRNA from 1 species